rnacentral:rRNA from 1 species
AGCAGCCGCGGUAAUUCCAGCUCCAAUAGCGUAUAUUAAAGUUGUUGCAGUUGGUCAUGCCUUCGGUAUGUACUGGCUUUACUGAUUCCUCCUUCUUGACGAACCGUGAUGUCAUUAAUUAGGUGUUGCGGGAAAUCAGGACUGUUACUUUGAAAAAAUUAGAGUGUUUAAAGCAGGCUAACGCUUGAAUACAUUAGCAUGGAAUAAUGAAAUAGGACGUAAUCCUAUUUUGUUGGUUUCUAGGAUCGACGUAAUGAUUAAUAGGGAUAGUUGGGGGCAUUAGUAUUCAAUUGUCAGAGGUGAAAUUCUUGGAUUUAUUUAAGACUAACUACUGCGAAAGCAUUUGCCAAGGAUAUUUUCAUUAAUCAAGAACGAAAGUUAGGGAAUCGAAGACGAUCAGAUACCGUCGUAGUCUUAACCAUAAACUAUGCC